rnacentral:snoRNA from 1 species
CCUUCAUGAUGAUGUCUGCACACGUCUUACGCCUUGUUAAUGCCAGACCUGAAAAGGUGAACCCACUGGCCUUACCAUGGCAAUAAGGGGAUGAUGUGUUGGGGUUACCAACAGUCUGAAAGGA